rnacentral:rRNA from 1 species
AUUUAAUUGAAGAGUUUGAUCAUGGCUCAGAUUGAACGCUGGCGGCAGCUUUAAUACAUGCAAGUCGAGCGAGAAAGUUUCUUCGGAAACGAGUAAAGCGGCGAACGGGUGAGUAACGCGUAGGAAUCUACCAUUCAGCGGGGGAUAGCUCGAGGAAACUCGAAUUAAUACCGCAUACACCCUACGGGGGAAAGAAGGCCUCUCCUUGGAAGCUUUCACUGUUUGAUGAGCCUGCGUGAGAUUAGUUUGUUGGUGAGGUAAUGGCUCACCAAGACUACGAUCUCUAGCUGGUCUGAGAGGACGAUCAGCCACACUGG